rnacentral:rRNA from 1 species
GACGAACGCUGGCGGCGUGCUUAACACAUGCAAGUCGAACGGAAAGGCCCUGCUUUUGUGGGGUGCUCGAGUGGCGAACGGGUGAGUAACACGUGAGUAACCUGCCCUUGACUUUGGGAUAACUUCAGGAAACUGGGGCUAAUACCGGAUAGGAGCUCCUGCUGCAUGGUGGGGGUUGGAAAGUUUCGGCGGUUGGGGAUGGACUCGCGGCUUAUCAGCUUGUUGGUGGGGUAGUGGCUUACCAAGGCUUUGACGGGUAGCCGGCCUGAGAGGGUGACCGGCCACAUUGGGACUGAGAUACGGCCCAGACUCCUACGGGAGGCAGCAGUGGGGAAUAUUGCACAAUGGGCGGAAGCCUGAUGCAGCAACGCCGCGUGCGGGAUGACGGCCUUCGGGUUGUAAACCGCUUUCGCCUGUGACGAAGCGUGAGUGACGGUAAUGGGUAAAGAAGCACCGGCUAACUACGUGCCAGCAGCCGCGGUGAUACGUAGGGUGCCGAGCGUUGUCCGGAUUUAUUGGGCGUAAAGGGCUCGUAGGUGGUUGAUCGCGUCGGAAGUGUAAUCUUGGGGCUUAACCCUGAGCGUGCUUUCGAUACGGGUUGACUUGAGGAAGGUAGGGGAGAAUGGAAUUCCUGGUGGAGCGGUGGAAUGCGCAGAUAUCAGGAGGAACACCAGUGGCGAAGGCGGUUCUCUGGGCCUUUCCUGACGCUGAGGAGCGAAAGCGUGGGGAGCGAACAGGCUUAGAUACCCUGGUAGUCCACGCUGUAAACGGUGGGUACUAGGUGUGGGGUCCAUUCCACGGGUUCCGUGCCGUAGCUAACGCUUUAAGUACCCCGCCUGGGGAGUACGGCCGCAAGGCUAAAACUCAAAGGAAUUGACGGGGCCCCGCACAAGCGGCGGAGCAUGCGGAUUAAUUCGAUGCAACGCGUAGAACCUUACCUGGGUUUGACAUGGAUCGGGAGUGCUCAGAGAUGGGUGUGCCUCUUUUGGGGUCGGUUCACAGGUGGUGCAUGGCUGUCGUCAGCUCGUGUCGUGAGAUGUUGGGUUAAGUCCCGCAACGAGCGCAACCCUUGUUCACUGUUGCCAGCACGUUAUGGUGGGGACUCAGUGGAGACCGCCGGGGUCAACUCGGAGGAAGGUGGGGAUGACGUCAAGUCAUCAUGCCCCUUAUGUCCAGGGCUUCACGCAUGCUACAAUGGCUGGUACAGAGAGUGGCGAGCCUGUGAGGGUGAGCGAAUCUCGGAAAGCCGGUCUCAGUUCGGAUUGGGGUCUGCAACUCGACCUCAUGAAGUCGGAGUCGCUAGUAAUCGCAGAUCAGCAACGCUGCGGUGAAUACGUUCCCGGGGC